rnacentral:rRNA from 1 species
UGAACGCUGGCGGUAGGCUUAACACAUGCAAGUCGUGCGAGAAAGUAUCUUCGGAUAUGAGUAGAGCGGCGGACGGGUGAGUAACGCGUAGGAAUCUACCUAGUAGAAGGGGAUAGCCCGAGGAAACUCGGAUUAAUACCGUAUACCUCCUUAGGGAGAAAGAGGGCCUCUCUUGAUGCUCUCGCUAUUAGAUGAGCCUGCGUAAGAUUAGCUUGUUGGUGAGGUAAUGGCUCACCAAGGCUACGAUCUUUAGCUGGUCUGAGAGGACGAUCAGCCACAUUGGGACUGAGACACGGCCCAGACUCCUACGGGAGGCAGCAGUGGGGAAUAUUGGACAAUGGGCGCAAGCCUGAUCCAGCCAUACCGCGUGUGUGAAGAAGGCCUUCGGGUUGUAAAGCACUUUAAGCAGGGAGAAAAAGUUAUAAGUUAAUACCUUAUAACCGUGAUGUUACCUGCAGAAUAAGCACCGGCUAAUUCCGUGCC